rnacentral:tRNA from 1 species
GGGGCUGUAGCUCAGUUGGCUAGAGCGCCUGCUUUGCAAGCAGGAGGUCGCGGGUUCGAUUCCCGCCAGCUCCA